UACAGAGGGGGCAAGCGUUGUCCGGAUUUACUGGGCGUACAGCGCGCGCAGGCGGCCGUGUAUGUGACCGGUGACAGUCGCGGGCUCAACCCGCGCCGGCCCGGCUACACAGCACAGCUGGAGGCAGGGAGAGGGAUGUGGAAUACCCGGUGGAGCGGUGAAAUGCGUAGAGAUCGGGUGGAACACCAGCGGCGAAGGCGGCAUCCUGGCCCGUGUACUGACGCUGAGGCGCGAUAGCGUGAGGAGCAAACGGGAU
rnacentral:rRNA from 1 species